CAACCUCAACUCAUAUGGGACUACCCCCUGAAUUUAAGCAUAUUAAUUAGGGGAGGAAAAGAAACUAACAAGGAUUUUCUUAGUAGCGGCGAGCGAAAAGAAAUCAGUUCAGCACUAAGUCACUUUGUCUAUAUGGCAAAUGUGAGAUGCAGUGUACGGAACAUCAACAUUCUAGUAUGAGAAGUUAACGAUUUAAGUCCUUCUUAAAUGAGGCCAUUUACCCAUAGAGGGUGCCAGGCCCGUAUAACGUUAAUGAUUACUAGAUGGUGUUUCCAACGAGUCGUGCUGCUUGAUAGUGCAGCACUAAGUGGGUGGUAAACUCCAUCUAAAACUAAAUGUAACCAUGAGACCGAUAGUAAACAAGUACCGUGAGGGAAAGUUGAAAAGAACUCUGAAUAGAGAGUUAAAUAGUACGUGAAACUGCUUAGAGGUUAAGCCCGAUGAACCUGAAUAUCCGUUAUGGAAAAUUCAUCAUUAGAAUUGUAAUAUUUUAAACAAUAUUAUAAUAAUAGUGUGCAUUUUUUCCAUAUAAGGACAUUGUAAUCUAUUAGCAUAAAUAUUUAUCAUAAAAUUAUGUCUGAUUGCUUAUUUGAAUUAUAUGCUUGGCAUUUUAACAUAAAAUAAAAGAUAUAAAUUUGAUAAAGUGCUGAUAGAUUUAUCCCCUACCCUGCGUUAAUUUUUCGGAAUUAUACAAUGGCAUAAUUAUCAUUGAUAUUUGUGUUUAUUAUAUGCAUUUGUAUGAUUAACAAUGCGAAAGAUUCACGAUACCUUCGGGA
rnacentral:ncRNA from 1 species